rnacentral:rRNA from 1 species
UACCAGACUCCUACGGGAGGCAGCAGUGGGGAAUAUUGCACAAUGGGGGGAACCCUGAUGCAGCGACGCCGCGUGAGUGAAGAAGUCUUUCGGUAUGUAAAGCUCUCUCAGCAGGGAAGAUAAUGACGGUACCUGACUAAGAAGCCCCGGCUAACUACGUGCCAGCAGCCGCGGUAAUACGUAGGGGGCAAGCGUUAUCCGGAUUUACUGGGUGUAAAGGGUGCGUAGGUGGCAGGGCAAGUCAGAUGUGAAAGCCCGGGGCCCAACCCCGGUACUGCAUUUGGAACUGUGUGGCUGGAGUGUCGGAGAGGCAGGCGGAAUUCCUAGUGUAGCGGUGAAAUGCGUAGAUAUUAGGAGGAACACCAGUGGCGAAGGCGGCCUGCUGGACGAUGACUGACGUUGAGGCUCGAAAGCGUGGGGAGCAAACAGGAUUAGAUACCCGAGUA